rnacentral:rRNA from 1 species
AGUGGACGCUGGCGGUAGGCCUAACACAUGCAAGUCGAACGGCAGCACAGUAAGAGGUUGCGCUUACGGGUGUCGCGUGGAGGACGGGUGAGGAAUACAUCGGAAUCUACUUUGUCGUGGGGGAUAACGCAGGGAAACUUACGCUAAUCCAGCAUACGUCCCCCGGGGGAAAGCACGGGUUCUUCUGACCUGGCGCGAUUGAAUAAGCCUAUGUAGGAUUAGCUAGUUGGCGGGGUAAAGGCCAACCAAGGCGACGAUGCGUAGCUGGUCGGAGAGGAUCAAGAGGCACAUUGGAACUGAGACACGGCGCACACUCCUGCAGGAGGCAGCAGUGGGGACUAUUGCGCGAUGGGGGAGAUGCUGAUACAGCCCAACGGCGUGGGGGCAGAAGGCGUUCGGCUUCUAGAGCCCUUAUGUUGGGAAAGAAAAACAGCUGGUUUACACGCCGCGAUACUGACGGUACCCAGAGAAUAAGCACCGGCUAACUCCGUG